CACUUUUACUUUCUUCCUUACCAGUCUCUCCCUUAUUUUCUUUUCUCAAAGACUCGGGGGUCUUCAUCCAUGGUGGGUCUCCUCCACCCUUAACCCAGGCCGUGGUCUGCAUUGAAGGAGACACAGGCAGUGGGUCUCCGUUGACACACUACCUUUUUCUUGGAUUUACGUCUUUGUACACAACUGGCAAAGAAGCGUAGGCUGGAAAAGUCCGUCGAAGAAUAGGCAUUGGGGAAGCAAGGGCAAGAAGGGGAGGAACAGUAGGCGCUGGGUCGGUCACAACUUUUUCUUCAUAUUGCAAAUAUUCAGUGAAAGCGGAUGUCAUAAACUCUAAUUCUAUGGCCAUUUCUGACCAGGUAAAAUAUCUCCCAUGUAUUUUUACUAGUAUUAGAAAGGGUGGUUCUUUGAAAUUGGCUUUUUUGUAGGAUAGCUAGGGAGGUAGGAUUAUUAGAUCAUGUUGGAAUUGGAAUGCAGAGGUGGGAUCCUUCCUAAUACAAUGUUAUUGUUUCGAUACAUGAUCUUAGCUUCAAGGGAAGA